GAUGAACGCUGGCGGUAUGCUUAACACAUGCAAGUCGAACGGACUCUUCGGAGUUAGUGGCGGACGGGUGAGUAACGCGUGAGAAUCUGGCUUUGGGUUCGGGACAACCACUGGAAACGGUGGCUAAUACCGGAUGUGCUGAGAGGUAAAAGAGAAAUUGCCUGAAGAUGAGCUCGCGUCUGAUUAGCUAGUUGGUGAGGUAAAGGCUCACCAAGGCAGCGAUCAGUAGCUGGUCUGAGAGGAUGACCAGCCACACUGGGACUGAGACACGGCCCAGACUCCUACGGGAGGCAGCAGUGGGGAAUUUUCCGCAAUGGGCGAAAGCCUGACGGAGCAAUACCGCGUGAGGGAAGAAGGCUCUUGGGUUGUAAACCUCUUUUCUUAGGGAAGAACAAAAUGACGGUACCUAAGGAAUCAGCAUCGGCUAACUCCGUG
rnacentral:rRNA from 1 species